UUAACAAGUUGAGUAAUCGCCUCGUAAGAGGAGGAAAGUCCGAACUUCCAUUAAAGGGUAGCGGGUAAUUCCCGUCAUUCGUGAGAAAGAGGUGCGAACAGAGACGCUUUAUUCCGAAAGGAGUAGAGUACCCUUCGGGGUAAGCUCUAAAGGAAACUUUAGAGGUGAAACGGCUAAAUCCUUACCUGGAAGCAAGAACAAACUCUCGCAAGAGAGAAAAGUAGUUCGCUUGAGCUAAGAAGUAAUUCUUAUGCCAGAUAGAUGAUUACAUAAAACAGAAUUCGGCUUACGGACUUGUUAAGGCA
rnacentral:RNase_P_RNA from 1 species